UACGUAGGGGGCAAGCGUUGUCCGGAUUUAUUGGGCGUAAAGAGCGUGUAGGCGGCCAGGGAGGUCCGCUGUGAAAACUUGAGGCUCAACCUCAAGCUGUCGGUGGAAACCCCUUGGCUAGAGUCCGGAAGAGGAGAGUGGAAUUCCUGGUGUAGCGGUGAAAUGCGCAGAUAUCAGGAAGAACACCAAUGGCGAAGGCAGCUCUCUGGGACGGUACUGACACUGAGACGCGAAAGCGUGGGGAGCGAACAGG
rnacentral:rRNA from 1 species